rnacentral:rRNA from 1 species
UACAGAGGGUGCGAGCGUUAAUCGGAAUUACUGGGCGUAAAAGCGUGCGUAGACGGUUACAUAAGUCGGGUGUGAAAGCCCCGGGCUCAACCUGGGAAUUGCAUUCGAGCUGCGUAGCUAGGGUGCGGAAGAGGGAAGCGGAAUUUCCGGUGUAGCGGUGAAAUGCGUAGAUAUCGGAAGGAACACCAGUGGCGAAAGCGG